CAGGGAGCAGAAUUCAGAAUUUUUUCAUCACAAUAGAGUACUCUCAUCCUUACUGUCAGAGGUUCUGUAGGUACCAAAAUCACUGGCUUGCAGAAGUGAGGAAAGGCUCAGAUACAUAGGUUUUGAACUUCUGAGCCUCCUAAAAGGUUACAGCCAUCAUGCCUGUAAUUUCCUGUCCCAUCACUCAGUACAGUAGAAAUUUCUGACUCUGAAUUCAAUUUUCACAAGUAUCCUUCACUGCUGUCUUUUGUUAGUUCAAGAAAAUCCAUCACAGUCCAAGAAGGGUUUACACCAGAUGAACCUGUUUUCAGUCUGUGCUCUUAAACUGUUAAGGCUCAAACUAUUACUCAUUGUUUGAUUCUGAUCAGGAACAAACAUACACUACAGAUUUGCAGCCAUUAUAU
rnacentral:lncRNA from 1 species